AGUCCCCAUCGCCCUGAGAUCAAAUAGGAGGCAAGGUCAGAGCGCCAGACGGGAGAAUCGGGGACUCACGCAGAGGCUCUGUGAUCUUCUUCGGAGACGGGGCGGGCGGGAGCCACUCUGCGUUGAUGAAGCUGGAGCCGGCGAGGUCUGCCUGCGGGGACCCCGCCCCGUGCGAACCCACCGCUGCGUUCUGGGCCGGUCCGAGGCGGCCGGCCGGGCUGCGGCAGCGCCCUUUGGCCGCGGGGCUGCAGUGCCGGCGGCGGCCGCUGGGCGGCGCGGGGCGGCGCGCGGAGCGUGGGAAGCGCGGGCGCGCGGGCGGGCCGGGCUCGCUCACGCCCGGGCAGCCGCGGCCGCCGCCGGGCCCGAAUGCGGAGCCGCUGCGCAGCUCGCGCCUGCCGCGGGGCGCGCGGGGCGCGGCGAGGCGGUCGUGCGGCCCCUGGCGGGGAGGGGGCGGCCGCUGGAGGUAAGAGCCGGGCCGCCGAUCGGGUGGGAGCGGCGCGGCGGCCAGGCCUGCAGCCGGUCUCCCGGAGCCCCGGGCAAGGCUGGGGUGCUCCCCUACCCGGCCCUGGGGGGGCGAUGCUCCGGGCCCACCGCGAUCGGGCGGCCCCCACGCCCGCUGCGGCGCCGGCCUCCCGCCGCAGCUGCCCUGGCCGCGUGGGUGGGAGCAGACUGGGGCCGGGUUCUGCCCCGGCCGGCACCCCCGCACCCCGGGCUCUUGGGGGGCCCGGGGCCAGCAGGGCGGGGGAGGAGGAUGAUCAGCCCCCACCCCCACCCCGGGGCCCGGCCCGGGAGCCCCUGCCCACUCCUCACCUUCCGCUUCUGGGCUCCGCAGUGGGCGUGGUGCCCCCCUCUGCUGCAGAGGGGGGCGCCCCGGAGUUGAGGAAGGCCGUGGGGGAGGAGAGCGCAGAGACAGAGGAACGGCAAAUGACAGAGCAGAGGGAAGGCUGGCCCAGCCAAUCCCCGAGCCGCUGCAGCACCGGUUCCCCACACAUUGCGGUGCAGGGACAGAGGGGAGGGGGCGGCCGGCCCCGCGCCUCCCCUGCCCAGGGGCCCCCGCGCGCUCCCCGGGGAGAAGGGCAGCUGGACAGAGGCUGCCGGGGCCAGGGUGCUGCCGCCCCUCCCUGCUGCCCGGCGUGGGAAGAGGAACGCGGAGCCAGCUGGAAGGGAGGAGGCUGGCCAGGGGAGGCGGGAGCCGACGACCCAGAAUAGCAAAGAAGACAGAAGCUAAGCACACCCAGAGCUGCUUUUAGCCAGCAAUGGCUGCUGAGGGCCUGCGAGGAAGACACCAGACUUUGGGCUGGGCCGGGCCAGGCCAGGAGACCCAGAGACCAGCCUGCGCUGGAGCCUGAAGAAGCCAUCGUGAAGGUCUAGUCAGACUCCUCACCCAGCAGGCGAGGAAAUGAAAGGUUAAACACAACGUUACUCAGAGCCAGGGAAGAGCCAGCCCGGGGAACGUGGACCGCAGUGUUUCCGGCUUCCUCGUGUUUUCCAUCAAAAAUUAAGAGGUGGCGGGGAUUGCGAUCCUGGGAGGAGGACGGACUGGGGUGGACGCCUUGGAGAAGAAGCAGGGAGAGCCCUCGGCUGUGGGGGAGAAGGAGGAGACGCGUGACUGCAGCAGAGCCCGGGAGGACGGCGGCUCCAGGGAGGGAGAGUGGGUCGGAAGCUGCCGGAUGACGAACACAGCCACGAGCGGAGAACAUAAAAGUUCCAGGAAGACAGAGCCUUUUCCAUUGUUACUGACGCUCCAGUACUUUGGCCACCUGAUUCAAAGAGCUGACUCAUUGGAAAAGACCCUGAUUCUGGGAAAGAUUGAAGGCAGGAGGAGAAGGGGACGACAGAGGAUG